rnacentral:rRNA from 1 species
AAAAUUGGACAAUGGGGGCAACCCUGAUCCAGCCAUGCCCCGUGUGUGAAGACGGUCUUCGGAUUGUCGAUCGCCUUCAGCUGGGAGGAAGGGCUAUAGGUUAGUACGCAGAAGUAUUGACGUUACCCAUCGUGCAAGCACCGGCUACCGUAGUGCGAGCAGCCGCGGUAAUACAGAGGGUGCAAGCGUUAAUCGGCAUUACUGGGCGUAAAGCACGCGUAGGUAGUUCAGUAAGGUGGGUGUGAAAUCCCAGGGGUUAACCUGGGAACUGAUUUCAUAGCUGCCGAGCUAGAGUACGGUAGAGGGUAGUGAAAUUUCCUGUGUAGCGGUGGAAUGCGUAGAUAUAGGAAGGAUCACCAGUGGCGAAGGCGACUGCCUGGACUGAUACUGACACUGAGGUGCGAAAGAGUGGGGAGCAAAC